UACAGAGGUGGCAAGCGUUGUUCGGAAUUACUGGGCGUAAAGGGCGCGUAGGCGGCCUUCUAAGUCAGACGUGAAAUCCCCCGGCUUAACCUGGGAACUGCGUCUGAUACUGGGAGGCUUGAGUAUGGGAGAGGGAUGUAGAAUUCCAGGUGUAGCGGUGAAAUGCGUAGAUAUCGUUUGGAACGCCAAAGGUGAAAACAGACAGCUGGGAGUGUGCUGACGCUGAGGAGCGAAAGCGUGGGGAGCGAACAGG
rnacentral:rRNA from 1 species